CUGUAGAUUUCAUGCCUAGCGGUGCUCAUUGGGGUUGUCCUUACUUCCUCUCGCAACUGAUAUUCAGGUGUGGGGGUGCUUGUAGGCAUCGUCCUAGUGACGCGGUACGUGAUAGCGUGUGAGUGGUUGUUGGUUUGCGUGGUUGGCGGGCUCUCUGCUUGUGCACUGAACCGUUCAGCAGCAUGCCUCCUCAUUGUUUGCUCCGAGUGCAGCAUGUGCCUCGGGCGAUUUGCGGUCCCUGUGCUGGAUUCCUAUUCGACGGUAUUAUGGUUGUCCUUUAACGAGYGCUUUUCGCUCUACGUCCGUGAAAGGAGGUCGAGCGGGCUGUGAAACCUGGUUCGUUAUCCACCCGUCAGGCGAGAACAAGCACGAUAGGGCAGGAUUACGAUCUCAGGUUGGGCUCUUGGAUGCGGAAUGCUGUGUGGGUGGGAGUCGAUGCUAAAACGCUGCACACCCAAGGCAUUGUAUGCUAAGCUGGGAUGACAUUCGAGUGCGACGUGACUCUUUCUUUACUGAAAGGGCUCACGUGCGUGUCGGUGUCGAUCUGAGGAAUGCUACCUGGUUGAUCCUGCCAGUAGUCAUAUGCUUGUCUCAAAGAUUAAGCCAUGCAUGUGUAAGUAUGAACUAAUUCAGACUGUGA
rnacentral:misc_RNA from 1 species